UGGCUGCGAAAAGAGUUUUAAUUUUUAUGAGGCUGGCGAAAUUACGGCCUCAGGCGACAGGCACAACGGAGAGAGAAACUAUGUUUGAA
rnacentral:ncRNA from 1 species